CCUACGGGUGGCAGCAGUGGGGAAUAUUGGACAAUGGGCGAAAGCCUGAUCCAGCCAUGCCGCGUGUGUGAAGAAGGCCUUCGGGUUGUAAAGCACUUUCAGUGGGGAAGAAAGCCUUGGGGCUAAUACCCUCGAGGAAGGACAUCACCCACAGAAGAAGCACCGGCUAACUCCGUGCCAGCAGCCGCGGUAAUACGGAGGGUGCGAGCGUUAAUCGGAAUUACUGGGCGUAAAGCGCGCGUAGGCGGUCUGAUAAGCCGGUUGUGAAAGCCCCGGGCUCAACCUGGGAACGGCAUCCGGAACUGUCAGGCUAGAGUGCAGGAGAGGAAGGUAGAAUUCCCGGUGUAGCGGUGAAAUGCGUAGAGAUCGGGAGGAAUACCAGUGGCGAAGGCGGCCUUCUGGACUGACACUGACGCUGAGGUGCGAAAGCGUGGGUAGCAAACAGGAUUAGAUACCCGAGUAG
rnacentral:rRNA from 1 species